UGUGUGCCACCUGUCUCAAUAGCUUGGCCCUCUUGUCCUCUGAAAGGAAGCUGUGUGACUGUACUAAACGAGAUGAUUUUUUUUACUAAACACUAAACCUAGGCAUUUGCACUUGGUCUGUAGGGCAUCAAAACAACAAAAGAGAAUAGAGAGUGAUCAUCAGUGAAUUUACAUCAACCAAAUCAAUCUUUAAAUGAUUAAUGUUUCAUCAGUGGGAGCAAAGAUAGGUUUGGAACUCAAGAGUUCACCUGAAGCAAAGACCACCUCCGCUAACACAAAAAAAAGCACUUUUAAAAAAAACAUAAGGGC